rnacentral:lncRNA from 1 species
CUACCGCUGCUAACUACUACUGCUACCUACUGCUGCUACCUACUGCUGCUGCUACCUACCGCUUCUACCCUACCGCUGCUACCUACUGCUGCUACCUACUGUAUCUCCAUACUGCUGCAACCUACUGUAUCUCCAUACCGCUGCUACCUACUGUAUCUCCAUACUGCUGCUACCUACUGUAUCUCCAUACCGCUGCGACCUACUGUAUCUCCAUACCGCUGCUACCUACUGUAUCUCCAUACCGCUGCUACCUACUGUAUCUCCAUACCGCUGCUACCUACUGUAACUCCAUACCGCUGCUACCUACUGUAUCUCCAUACCGCUGCUACCUACUGUAACUCCAUAUCGCUGCUACCUACUGUAUCUCCAUACCGCUGCUACCUACUGUAUCUCCAUACUGCUGCUACCUACUGUAUCUCCAUACCGCUGCUACCUACUGUAUCUCCAUACCGCUGCUACCUACUGUAUCUCCAUACCGCUGCUACCUACUGUAUCUCCAUACUGCUGCUACCUACUUUAUCUCCAUACCGCUGCUACCUACUGUAUCCCAUUCCGCUGCUACCUACUGUAUCUCCAUACCGCUGCUACCUACUGUAUCUCCAUACCGCUGCUACCUACUGUAUCUCCAUACCGCUGCUACCUACUGUAUCUCCAUACUGCUGCUACCUACUGUAUCUCCAUACCGCUGCUACCUACUGUAUCUCCAUACCGCUGCUACCUACUGUAUCUCCAUACCGCUGCUACCUACUGUAUCUCCAUACCGCUGCUACCUACUGUAUCUCCAUACUGCUGCUACCUACUGUAUCUCCAUACUGCUGCUACCUACUGUAUCUCCAUACUGCUGCUACCUACUGUAUCACCAUACUGCUGCUACCUACUGUAUCUCCAUACCGCUGCUACCUACUGUAUCUCCAUACCGCUGCUACCUACUGUAUCUCCAUACCGCUGCUACCUACUGUAUCUCCAUACUGCUGCUACCUACUGUAUCUCCAUACUGCUGCUACCUACUGUAUCUCCAUACCGCUGCUACCUACUGUAUCUCCAUACUGCAUCUCCAUACUGCUGCUACCUACUGUAUAUUUCCAUACUGCUGCUACCUACUGUAUCUCCAUACUGCUGCUACCUUUCUGUUAA